rnacentral:rRNA from 1 species
CUCCGGUUGAUCCCGCCGGACCCGACUGCUAUCAGAGUGGGACUAAGCCAUGCGAGUCAACGCAGCAAUGCGUGGCAUACGGCUCAGUAACACGUAGUCAACAUGCCCAGGGGACGUGGAUAACCUCGGGAAACUGAGGAUAAACCGCGAUAGGCCAAGAUUUCUGGAAUGGAUAAUGGCUGAAAUCUAUAUGGCCCCUGGAUUGGACUGCGGCCGAUCAGGCUGUUGGUGAGGUAAUGGCCCACCAAACCUGUAACCGGUACGGGCUCUGAGAGGAGGAGCCCGGAGAUGGGCACUGAGACAAGGGCCCAGGCCCUAUGGGGCGCAGCAGGCGCGAAACCUCUGCAAUAGGCGAAAGCUUGACAGGGUUACUCUGAGUGAUGUCCGUUAAGGGCAUCUUUUGGCACUUCUAAAAAUAGUGUAGAAUAAGGGGUGGGCAAGUCUGGUGUCAGCCGCCGCGGUAAUACCAGCACCCCGAGUGGUCGGGACGAUUAUUGGGCCUAAAGCAUCCGUAGCCGGUUCUGCAAGUCUUCCGUUAAAUCCACCUGCUCAACAGAUGGGCUGCGGAGGAUACUACAGGGCUAGGAGGCGGGAGAGGCAAGCGGUACUCAGUGGGUAGGGGUAAAAUCCUCUGAUCCACUGAAGACCACCAGUGGCGAAGGCGGCUUGCCAGAACGCGCUCGACGGUGAGGGAUGAAAGCUGGGGGAGCAAACCGGAUUAGAUACCCGGGUAGUCCCAGCUGUAAACGAUGCAGACUCGGUGAUGGGUUGGCUUCGAGCCAACCCAGUGCCGCAGGGAAGCCGUUAAGUCUGCCAACUGGGGAGUACGGUCGCAAGACUGAAACUUAAAGGAUUGGCGGGGGGAGCA